rnacentral:rRNA from 1 species
GUGUUGUUGGGUAGGGGAGCGUUCUGUAAGCCGUUGAAGGUGGUCUGUGAGGGCUGCUGGAGGUAUCAGAAGUGCGAAUGCUGACAUGAGUAACGAUAAAGCGGGUGAAAAACCCGCUCGCCGGAAGACCAAGGGUUCCUGUCCAACGUUAAUCGGGGCAGGGUGAGUCGACCCCUAAGGCGAGGCUGAAAAGCGUAGUCGAUGGGAAACAGGUUAAUAUUCCUGUACUUGGUGUUACUGCGAAGGGGGGACGGAGAAGGCUAUGUCAUCCGGGCGACGGUUGUCCCGGUUUAAGCGUGUAGGCUGAGAUCCCAGGCAAAUCCGGGAUCUCUUAAGGCUGAGGCGUGAUGACGAGGUACCACGGUACUGAAGUGACAGAUGCCCUGCUUCCGGGAAAAGCCUCUAAGCUCCAGGUAACACGAAAUCGUACCCCAAACCGACACAGGUGGUCAGGUAGAGAAUACCAAGGCGCUUGAGAGAACUCGGGUGAAGGAACUAGGCAAAAUGGUGCCGUAACUUCGGGAGAAGGCACGCUGGCGCGUAGGUGAAGGGACUUGCUCCCGGAGCUGAAGCCAGUCGAAGAUACCAGCUGGCUGCAACUGUUUAUUAAAAACACAGCACUGUGCAAACACGAAAGUGGACGUAUACGGUGUGACGCCUGCCCGGUGCCGGAAGGUUAAUUGAUGGGGUUAUCCGCAAGGAGAAGCUCUUGAUCGAAGCCCCGGUAAACGGCGGCCGUAACUAUAACGGUCCUAAGGUAGCGAAAUUCCUUGUCGGGUAAGUUCCGACCUGCACGAAUGGCGUAAUGAUGGCCAGGCUGUCUCCACCCGAGACUCAGUGAAAUUGAAAUCGCUGUGAAGAUGCAGUGUACCCGCGGCAAGACGGAAAGACCCCGUGAACCUUUACUAUAGCUUGACACUGAAUAUUGAGCCUUGAUGUGCAGGAUAGGUGGGAGGCACUGAAGUACGGACGCCAGUUCGUACGGAGCCAACCUUGAAAUACCACCCUUUAAUGUUUGAUAUUCUAACGUAGACCCGUAAUCCGGGUUGCGGACAGUGUCUGGUGGGUAGUUUGACUGGGGCGGUCUCCUCCCAAAGAGUAACGGAGGAGCACGAAGGUUAGCUAAUCACGGUCGGACAUCGUGAGGUUAGUGCAAAGGCAUAAGCUAGCUUGACUGCGAGAGUGACGGUUCGAGCAGGUGCGAAAGCAGGUCUUAGUGAUCCGGUGGUUCUGAAUGGAAGGGCCAUCGCUCAACGGAUAAAAGGUACUCCGGGGAUAACAGGCUGAUACCGCCCAAGAGUUCAUAUCGACGGCGGUGUUUGGCACCUCGAUGUCGGCUCAUCACAUCCUGGGGCUGAAGUAGGUCCCAAGGGUACGGCUGUUCGCCGUUUAAAGUGGUACGCGAGCUGGGUUUAGAACGUCGUGAGACAGUUCGGUCCCUAUCUGCCGUGGGCGCUGGAGAAUUGAGGGGGGUUGCUCCUAGUACGAGAGGACCGGAGUGAACGCACCACUGGUGUUCGGGUUGUCAUGCCAAUGGCAUUGCCCGGUAGCUAAGUGCGGAAAAGAUAAGUGCUGAAAGCAUCUAAGCACGAAACUUGCCCCGAGAUGAGUUCUCCCUGACUCCUUGAGAGUCCUGAAGGGACGUUGAAGACGACGACGUUGAUAGGCCGGAUGUGUAAGUGCAGCGAUGCAUUGAGCUAACCGGUACUAAUGACCCGUGAGGCUUAACCUU